rnacentral:rRNA from 1 species
AUUGAACGCUGGCGGCAGGCCUAACACAUGCAAGUCGAGCGGAUGAAGGGAGCUUGCUCCUGGAUUCAGCGGCGGACGGGUGAGUAAUGCCUAGGAAUCUGCCUGGUAGUUGGGGAUAACGUCCGGAAACGGGCGCUAAUACCGCAUACGUCCUGAGGGAGAAAGUGGGGGAUCUUCGGACCUCACGCUAUCAGAUGAGCAUAGGUCGGAUUAGCUAGUUGGUGGGGUAAAGGCCUACCAAGGCGACGAUCCGUAACUGGUCGGAGAGGAUGAUCAGUCACACUGGAAGUGAGACACGGUCCAGACGCCUACGGGAGGCAGCAGUGGGGAAUAUUGGACAAUGGGCGAAAGCCUGAUCCAGCCAUGACGCGUGUGUGAAGAAGGUCUUCGGAUUGUAAAGCACUUUAAGUUGGGAGGAAGGGCAGUAAGUUAAUACCUUGCUGUUUUGACGUUACCAACAGAAUAAGCACCGGCUAACUUCGUG